rnacentral:snRNA from 1 species
CUUCAAGAAGAUCAUCCUCAU